rnacentral:rRNA from 1 species
AUUGAACGCUGGCGGCAGGCCUAACACAUGCAAGUCGAGCGGAUGAAGGGUGCUUGCUCCUGGAUUCAGCGGCGGACGGGGGAGUAAUGCCUAGGAAUCUGCCUGGUAGUGGGGGAUAACGUCCGGAAACGGGCGCUAAUACAGCAUACGUACUGAGGGAGAAAGUGGGGGAUCUUCGGACCUCACGCUAUCAGAUGAGCCUAGGUCGGAUUAGCUAGUUGGUGGGGUAAAGGCCUACCGAGGCGACGAUCCGUAACUGAUCUGAGAGGAUGAUCAGUCACACUGGAACUGAGACACGGUCCAGACUCCUACGGGAGGCAGCAGUGGGGAAUAUUAGACAAUGGGCGAAAGCCUGAUCCAGCCAUGCCGCGUGUGUGAAGAAGGUCUUCGGAUUGUAAAGCACUUUAAGUUGGGAGGAAGGGCAGUAAGUUAAUACCUUGCUGUUUUGACGUUACCAACAGAAUAAGCACCGGCUAACUUCGUG